GAGUAGAGUGCUUAGUUGAACAGGGCC
rnacentral:piRNA from 1 species